CCUACGGGAGGCAGCAGUGAGGAAUAUUGGUCAAUGGCCGCAGGGCUGAACCAGCCAAGUCGCGUGAGGGAUGACGGUCCUAUGGAUUGUAAACCUCUUUUGUCAGGGAGCAAAGGGCGCCACGUGUGGCGUUUUGCGAGUACCUGAAGAAAAAGCAUCGGCUAACUCCGUGCCAGCAGCCGCGGUAAUACGGAGGAUGCGAGCUUUUUCCGGAUUUCUUGGGGUUAAAGGGUGCGCAGUCGGAAUGUGAAGUCAGCGGUAAAAUUUCGGGGCUCAACCCCGUCGUGCCGAUGAAACUGGCGUUCUUGAGUGAGCGAGAAGUAUGCGGAAUGCGAAGUGUAGCGGUGAUAUGCAUGGAUAUCACGCAGAACUCCGAUUGCGAAGGCAGCAUACCGGCGCUCAACUGACGCUCAUGCACGAAAGCGUGGGUAUCGAACGGGAUUAGAUACCCGUGUAGUC
rnacentral:rRNA from 1 species